CCUACGGGUGGCAGCAGUGAGGAAUAUUGGUCAAUGGGCGUAAGCCUGAACCAGCCAAGUCGCGUGAGGGAUGAAGGUUCUAUGGAUCGUAAACCUCUUUUAUAAGGGAAUAAAUUGCGGGACGUGUCCCGUUUUGUAUGUACCUUAUGAAUAAGGCUCGGCUAACUCCGUGCCAGCAGCCGCGGUAAUACGGAGGAUCCGAGCGUUAUCCGGAUUUAUUGGGUUUAAAGGGUUCGUAGGCGGCCUUGUAAGUCAGCGGGGAAAGUCUGUGGCUCAACCAUAGAAUUGCCGUUGAAACUGGGAGGCUUGAGUAUGUUUGAGGCAGGCGGAAUGCGUGGUGUAGCGGUGAAAUGCUUAGAUAUCACGCAGAACCCCGAUUGCGAAGGCAGCCUGCCAAGCCAUGACUGACGCUGAUGCACGAAAGCGUGGGGAUCAAACAGGAUUAGAUACCCGUGUAGUC
rnacentral:rRNA from 1 species